CUCCAGACUCCUACGGGAGGCAGCAGUGGGGAAUAUUGCACAAUGGGGGAAACCCUGAUGCAGCGACGCCGCGUGAGCGAUGAAGUAUUUCGGUAUGUAAAGCUCUAUCAGCAGGGAAGAAGAUGACGGUACCUGACUAAGAAGCCCCGGCUAACUACGUGCCAGCAGCCGCGGUAAUACGUAGGGGGCAAGCGUUAUCCGGAUUUACUGGGUGUAAAGGGAGCGUAGACGGCGAUGCAAGCCAGAUGUGAAAGCCCGGGGCUCAACCCCGGGACUGCAUUUGGAACUGUGUGGCUGGAGUGUCGGAGAGGCAGGCGGAAUUCCUAGUGUAGCGGUGAAAUGCGUAGAUAUUAGGAGGAACACCAGUGGCAAAGGCGGCCUGCUGGACGAUGACUGACGUUGAGGCUCGAAAGCGUGGGGAGCAAACAGGAUUAGAUACCCCCGUAC
rnacentral:rRNA from 1 species